UUCGGUAGGAGCUUUUCACCAUCAGUUUUUAGAAAGUACGCAUGACUCUCCUUCUGUUGAUAUCUCUCUUGAUUUGGCAAAGAGUACAAGGAGGACCGCAAAGGGUUGCCAUAUAAUCAUCACAAAUAGAUCCAGGGAUACCAUAUCAGGUCCUGUAGAGUCCUCAUUGCGACGCUUGCUCCACACAGCAUUCAUUCAUAUCAGCUGCAACUUGACACCCAAGGCACGGGAGACAAUACGUGCCACAGAGACAGACUCCACAGUCGCUGAAGCAGUCACACAUGCCUGUCUGCCAGUUGGAGUUCUGGGGUGCCGGACCGAGACCGACUCCCACAACGACCAUCAGCACCUCAUGUGUUAAUUUUUUAAGACACCUAAUUAGAGCCUCAUUCCUUGCACCUCCCCCUUUUAAGCAAAUGGAGCAGAGGCCGCUGUACCCCCCAGCGAGAGCUGCUUGCCUCUAUUAAGGGGAGAUGCGGCAUGGGCGUUAUUUCUCCUUUUUAAGGCAGCAGGCACUUCCUUUACCGUCAUUGCCAGGCAGGUUACUCCUCUGAGCAAAUCAGCGGCAAUGAUGAGUGUGAGAUGCAGAUCCUUGUCCAUGCGCGCUUCGUGUGUCCUGCGUGCUGUCUCUCUGCUGUCACCACAGGGGGCCAGAUUGGCUGUGCAGCCUCUGCACAUGCAGCAGCUCCGAAAGCUGAAACACCACCAGCAGCAAAAAGCUGUGCAGCCCUCGGCCGCCCCAGGCCUGCUGCUGCACAGCGGAAGUGGGCAACAGAUUUGAGCAGACACUCCACCAAAGAAGCUCUCUAGGUGGCAAAUAAGCACUGUCCUCUGGGAAAUGCAAAUAAAAAUCACAAUGAGAAACUACUGCACACCCGUGAGAAUGCCUUUAAAAAAAAAAGACAAGACCAAAACCAAGUGUUAGUGAGGGUGUGGAACAACAGAAAUUCUCAUACCUUGUUGGUGGAACUACAAGAUAGUGGAGCCCUCUGGAAUCAGUUUGGCAGUUUCUUAUAAAAUAAAACAAUCAUUUACUGUAUGACCCAGCAAUCCCGCCCCUCAUUCUUUAUACCAGAGAAAUGAAGACAUAUGUCCACACAAUAACCAAAUACUGUAACCACAAUGAAAAAUGAUGCAAGUGUUCACAGAAGCUUUAUUCAUUUACCUAAAACUGAAAGCAACCCAGACACUCUUCAACUGGCCAAUGGGUAAACAAACGGCAGCCCACCAGUUCCAUAAAACAGCACUCAGCAGGAGACAGGACUGGGCCACUGAUGCUGGGGGCAGCGGGGAUAAGCCUGAAAUGUCUUAUGCAGAGUGAAAGAGGCCACACUUAGAAGGCUGCAGUUUUUGUUUUUAUAUAUGACAUUCUGGAAAAGGCAACACUAUAGCGACAGAGAAGAGCUCUGCGGUCACGAGGGGCUGGGGCGGUGGAAGGACUGACUUUCAAAGGGACAAGAGGGAAUUCUUGGGGGCUGUGGAAAGAUUCUGUAUCUUGAUGCUGAUGGUUGUUACAUGGCUGUGUGCAUUGAUCAAAACUGAAGUAUGCAUCAGAAACAGCGACUUGGACUGUAUGUAAAUUAUACUGCAGUUUUUUUGUUUCUUUGUUUGUUUGUUUUUGAGACGGAGUCUGGCUGUGUUGCCCAGGCUGGAGUGGAGUGAUAUCGGCUCACUGCAAGCUCUGCCUCCCAGGUUCAUGUCAUUUUCCUGCCUCAGCCUCCCAAGUAGCUGGGACCACAGGUGUCCACCACCAUGCCUGGCUAAUUUUUUUGUAUUUUUAAUAGAGACAAGGUUUCACCGUGUUAGCCAGGGUGGUCUCGAUCUCCUGACCUUGUGAUCUGCCCACCUCGGCCUCCCAAAAUGCUGGGAUUACAGGCAUGAGCCACCGUGCCCAGCCUAUACUGCAGUUUUAAAAAACUUAAUGGAAGGGUUAAACAAUACAUUAGAUAAUUUGUGAGCUGCAGAGAGAUCUGGAGAAAUAAUCAUGGUAGCAUGAGACUAGCAAACAAGACAAAGAAGACAGGCUGGCUGCAGUGCUCAGGCCUGUAACCCCAGCACUUUGGGAGGCCAGUGUGGGUGGCUUGUUUGAGCCAAGCAGUUCAAGACCAGUCUGAGCAACAGAGCGAGGCCCCGUCUCUGCAAAAAAAUAAGAAAAGAAGAGGGAGGGGUGAGAAAAUCUCACAUUCAACUGAGUUCCAGAAGAGAAUGAAAAAAGAAAAUAUUCAAAGAGUGGAUGGCUGAGAAUUUUCCAGAAUGGGUUUAACUUACCAGUCUAAAGACUGAAGAAAUACAACAAGUCCCUAGCGGGAUACAGACAAAGAUACCUGUGCCUGACACAUCUGGGCAAACUGUGGCACUCAAAGCAGAUGAGAAAACCAUGAAAGAAUCCAGGAGGAAAACAGAUUUCUCACGAAGAAAAGGCGAUUCCAUGGACAGCUCCCUUCUUAGUAGGAACUGUGGAAACCAGAAGUAGCUUUAAAGUGCUGGGAUAAAACUGUCUUUCAAGGGUAAGAGUGAAAACAAAGACAUACUCAGACAAAAACUGAAAACAUUUACCACAAACAAACUCACCUUAAGAAGGCAAAUGGCCCUCGAUGUGGAAAGCAAAGCUCAGGGGACAGAGGGUGUGCUGAAGAGUUGGCGGUGAUGCUCCCUGGAGGGUCCCCCCAGGGCCAAGGGGGGGCCUGGGAGCCGUGCAUGGUGAGACUGGAGUGUGAGCUUGAGGACAGCAAGAAUCAGACGACCACCCCAGGCUGCCAGGGUGUGGCUCAGCCUAUCUGCCCCUCACGCUGAGCUGCACAGAUGCAAAGACCUUCCAAACACAGUCACGAGGCCUUAGGAACGUCUCCAGAGCUUCCAUCAUCAUCCGGGUCUCCUCGUCAGCUGCUGCCUGGUGAGGGCUCUGCCAGAGGACAGCCCUGAGUGCUGCUAUCAAGGCUGAGGAGGCCACCCCCACGUGCCACCCACGAAGCUGCCUGCAGGCCGGGAGGCUUCUCUUCUGGCUUCAGCCACAUGUGAAGGAGAACCUGUCAAGCUCCAGCUGAUGAAGUCUUCAGAAGGGCUCAGAGUCAAGCGGCAGAACUCCUGGUGCCAUCUGCUUAAUUACGGGCGUGGGUUUUCCUCAGUGUUUUGAUCUAUAAAUACGAAAAAUAAGAACAGCACCAGUGCUGAAUCUAUGUCAUCCCAUGAAUGGAUGAACUGGUUGAAAAAAAAAAUAGCCUGAUGUUGGGAGCCAAAAAGGCCGAAGGGAUCAUGACCAACUCAGCAUUCCACUGGAGGCUAUAUGAUCAAUCAGCAAACUGUUUAUCCUGAAUGUAGGAUGUGAGUAAAACUCACAGCUGCGCCUGCUGCCAGAAGGUUUGCUGAGGGCGGUCACUCCCUGGCACUGGGGUCCUUGAAGUUAUCUACUGGAAAAUCUAGCGCCUGUUGUUCGAAGGAUGCAGUCUCG
rnacentral:lncRNA from 1 species